rnacentral:rRNA from 1 species
UAAGCUGACUUAAAUACCCUAAAGGCACUAGAUCCCAUCUGAUCUUGGAAACUUAGCUGGGUCAAUUCUGGUAAGUAUUUAAAUGGGAGACUCCCAAAGAACACCAGGAAGGCACUGUAG